CGGGCAAAGGCGAUGCUGGGAAAGCCGCUUCAAUCUACGAGAUUGUGACCAUAGAUGGUCUGAGCCGGUUCGAGUCCGGUAGCUCCGC
rnacentral:tRNA from 1 species